ensembl:lncRNA
AUGCUUUGGGACAGUCUGGGAUGCUUUGGGAUGGUCUGGGAUCACUCAGGACUGUGGGAAGGACAGUUUGGGAUGGUUUGGGAAGCUUUGGGAUGGUGUGGGAUGGUUUGGGACGCUCUGGGAUCACUCAGGACUGUGGGAAGGACAGUUUGGGAUGGUUUGGGAAGCUUUGGGAUGGUGUGGGAUGGUUUGGGACGCUCUGGGAUCACUCAGGACUGUGGGAAGGACAGUUUGGGAUGGUUUGGGAAGCUUUGGGAUGGUGUGGGAUGGUUUGGAAUGCCUUUGGGACAGUCUGGGAUGCUUUGGGACGCUCUGGGAUCACUCAGGACUGUGGGAAGGAUGGUUUGGGAUGGUUUCAGAAGCUUUGGGAUGGUCUGGGAUGGUUUGGGACGCUCUGGGAUCACUCAGGACUGUGGGAAGGACAGUUUGGGAUGGUUUGGGAAGCUUUGGGAUGGUGUGGGAUGGUUUGGAAUGCCUUGGGACAGUCUGGGAUGCUUUGGGAUGGUCUGGGAUCACUCAGGACUGUGGGAAGGAUGCUUUGGGAUGGUUUGGAAUGCUUUGGGAUGGUCUGGGAUCACUCAGGACUGUGGGAAGGACAGUUUGGGAUGGUUUGGGAAGCUUUGGGAUGGUGUGGGAUGGUUUGGAAUGCUUUGGGAUAGUCUGGGAUGCUUUGGGAUGGUCUGGGAUCACUCAGGACUGUGGGAAGGAUGGUUUGGGAUGGUUUCAGAAGCUUUGGGAUGGUCUGGGAUGGUUUGGAAUGCCUUUGGGACAGUCUGGGAUGCUUUGGGACGCUCUGGGAUCACUCAGGACUGUGGGAAGGAUGCUCUGGGAUGGUUUGGAAUGCUUUGGGACAGUCUGGGAUGCUUCGGGAUGGUCUGGGAUCACUCAGGACUGUGGGAAGGAUGGUUUGGGAUGGUUUGGGAAGCUUUGGGAUGGUGUGGGAUGGUUUGGGACACUCUGGGAUCACUCAGGACUGUGGGAAGGAUGGUUUGGGAUGGUUUUGGAAGCUUUGGGAUGGUCUGGGAUAGUUUGGGACGCUCUGGGAUCACUCAGGACUGUGGGAAGGAUGGUUUGGGAUGGUUUGGGAAGCUUUGGGAUGGUGUGGGAUGGUUUGGAAUGCUUUGGGAUAGUCUGGGAUGCUUUGGGAUGGUCUGGGAUCACUCAGGACUGUGGGAAGGAUGCUUUGGGAUGGUUUGGGACAUUUUGGGAGGCUUUGGGAUCACGGGGCUGCUCACGGAACAUGGUCUCCAGGCGCACGAGGCAGCAGACGAAGCUGUCGAAGUCCAGGGCCAGGUCGGGCUCGGCGUAGCGGGUGAUGAGCAGCUCGUGCAGCCUCUUGCUCAGCCGGUAGCCUGGGCCAGGGGACAGCCCGGGGGUCACCGGGGGGUCCCGGGGCAGGGGAGGGGUCCCGGGGGGCCCCGGGGGUCACCUGCAGCCUCCAGCGCCAGGCGCAGCUCGUAGGCGCUGAUGGAGCCCGACUUGUCCAGGUCAAACUUGCGGAAGAUGCUCUGGCAGGAACAGCCCCCGAAGGGGCAGGGGUCACCCAAAACACCUCAAAAUCACCCCAAAAUCCCCCCCCAAAGGGGCAGGGGUCACCCAAAACAUCCCAGUGUACCCCAAAAUUUCCCCGAAGUGGAGACCACCCAAAAAAAAGAUGCCAAAACCUUCACCGCACACCCCAGCACCCCCAAAAAAGUAGGGUAAAGAGUGUGAGGGGGGGGUCUCAAAUCAGGAGGGAGACCCCAAAUCCCCCAGGAGCCAGGAGAGCCCCCAGACCCCCCAGGAAUGGGAGAGCCCCC